UUUCUCCCAAAAAGCCUACUACCAUUCCCGAAGUGGCAAAGCAGCGGGAGCUAAGUGGAACCUUGGAAACGGAAGCAGAGAGAGAGGCAAGGCUGAAGAAGCAGCUCUCUGAAUCUAAAUUCAAGGAGCUUAGUGGCCAUGACAUAUUUGCGCCCCCUCCUGAAAUUUUACCCAGGACAACUACCGCUCCUCGUGCUUUGGCCUUGAAGGGAAGCAUUGAGAUAGGAGAACCUACUUCACCCAACGGUCGCACGCCUGUUAAGAAGGUUUCUAAUGUAAGUGAACUGCGUUACUUUACGCCUAAUACAUAUCACUAUCUGUUCCCAUUAUGUGGUAGUUAAGCAUAUGAUUUCUUGUGAAUUUGGUUUUUAUGCAAUAGCCUGGUGGGGGUCAGAGCAAUAUAACAUCCAUCGAGGAACCAGCGCCCAAGACAGCCAAGAAGAUUUAUGACAAGAAGUUUUCCGAGCUCUCAGGAAAUGAUAUAUUCAAGGGCGAUGUUCCUCCUUCGUCAGCUGAAAAACCACUGAGUUCGGCAAAACUACGAGAGAUGAGCGGCAGCAACAUCUUUG
rnacentral:lncRNA from 1 species